rnacentral:rRNA from 1 species
UGGUGGAGUGAUUUGUCUGGUUAAUUCCGUUAACGAACGAGACCUCGACCUGCUAAAUAGUUUGGCGAAUUCCCUGUGGAUUCGCACAUAAACUUCUUAGAGGGACUAUCGGUUCGCAGCCGGUGGAAGUUCGAGGCAAUAACA